CAUGCAGUCGAACGGUAAGGUCCCUUCGGGGAUACACGAGUGGCGCACGGGUGCGUAACGCGUAUGCGACCUACCCUGAAGUGGGGGAUAGCCAGUGGAAACGCUGAAUAAUCCCGCAUGUGAUUUUAGUAUUUCAUGGUACUAAGAUGAAAACUCUGGUGCUUCAGGAUGGGCAUGCGUCCCAUUAGCUAGCUGGUGAGGUAACGGCUCACCAGGGCGACGAUGGGUAGCUGGUCUGAGAGGAUGAUCAGCCACACGGGCACUGAGACACGGGCCCGACUCCUACGGGAGGCAGCAGUAAGGAAUAUUGGUCAAUGGGGGCAACCCUGAACCAGCCAUGCCGCGUGCAGGAAGAAGGCCCUCUGGGUCGUAAACUGCUUUUAUCAGGGGAUAAAGGGGUGCUAUAUGCACCCUUGCAGGUACCUGAGGAAUCAGCACCGGCUAACUACGUGCCAGCAGCCGCGGUAAUACGUAGGGUGCAAGCGUUGUCCGGAUUUAUUGGGUUUAAAGGGUGCGCAGGCGGUCUGUUAAGUUAGUGGUGAAAUCGUCCCGCUCAACGGGAUACCCGCCAUUGAUACUGGCAGACUUGAGUGUGUCUGAGGGAGUUGGAAUGCGUGGUGUAGCGGUGAAAUGCAUAGAUAUCACGCAGAACACCGAUUGCGAAGGCAGACUUCUAAGACAUGACUGACGCUGAGGCACGAAUGCGUGGGGAGCGAACAGGAUUAGAUACCCUGGUAGUCCACGCUGUAAACGAUGGUUACUAGGUGUUCGACCCUUUAUGGGUUGAGUGCCCAAGCGAAAGCGAUAAGUGACCCACCUGGGGAGUACGUUCGCAAGAAUGAAACUCAAAGGAAUUGACGGGGGCCCGCACAAGCGGUGGAGCAUGUGGUUUU
rnacentral:rRNA from 1 species